rnacentral:rRNA from 1 species
ACGGAAGGCAGCAGUGGGGAAUAUUGCACAAUGGGCGCAAGCCUGAUGCAGCGAUGCCGCGUGAGGGAAGAAGGUUUUCGGAUUGUAAACCUCUGUCAACAGGGACGAAAAUGACGGUACCUGUGAAGGAAGCUCCGGCUAACUACGUGCCAGCAGCCGCGGUAAUACGUAGGUGGCAAGCGUUGUCCGGAUUUACUGGGUGUAAAGGGUGCGCAGGCGGGACUGCAAGUUGGAUGUGAAAUACCGAGGCUCAACCUCGGAGCUGCAUCCAAAACUGUAGUUCUUGAGUGGAGUAGAGGUAAGCGGAAUUCCGAGUGUAGCGGUGAAAUGCGUAGAUAUUCGGAGGAACACCAGUGGCGAAGGCGGCUUACUGGGCUCUAACUGACGCUGAGGCACGAAAGUGUGGGUAGCAAACAGGAUUAGAUACCCUGGUA